UACGGAGGGAGCUAGCGUUGUUCGGAAUUACUGGGCGUAAAGCGCGCGUAGGCGGCUUUGUAAGUCAGGGGUGAAAUCCUGGAGCUCAACUCCAGAACUGCCUUUGAUACUGAAGAUCUUGAGUUCGGGAGAGGUGAGUGGAACUGCGAGUGUAGAGGUGAAAUUCGUAGAUAUUCGCAAGAACACCAGUGGCGAAGGCAGCUCACUGGCCCGAUACUGACGCUGAGGCACGAAAGCGUGGGGAGCAAACAGG
rnacentral:rRNA from 1 species